rnacentral:tRNA from 2 species
CCCUGGUUAGCUCAGUUGGGAGAGCGCUUCACUGGAAAUGGAGAGGUCCCGGGUUCGAUACCCGGGCCAGGCG